GGGUAUGGAUAUCUCAUGGUGAAACGAUGGGAGGUGUGGGGAAUAUAUAGCACAUGGGGUUUGUUAGUUAGUUAGCCAAGUUUGGUUGAGUCCUAGUCCAAAUAGGACUCAAUUAAUUCUUGAUCAAAUCCAUAACUAACUCUAGGACCAAUCCUAACCAGUUUAGAAAUUAGUUAUAACAAACUAACUAAUUAGGUCCU
rnacentral:lncRNA from 1 species